UACGUAAGGGGCAAGCGUUAUCCGGAUUUACUGGGUGUAAAGGGUGAGUAGGCGGCAUGGCAAGUCAUAUGUGAAAGACUGAGGCUUAACCUCAGAGGUGCAUAAGAAACUGCUGAGCUUGAGUGCAGGAGAGGCAAGCGGAAUUCCUAGUGUAGCGGUGAAAUGCGUAGAUAUUAGGAAGAACACCGGUGGCGAAGGCGGCUUGCUGGACUGUAACUGACGCUGAGUCACGAAAGCGUGGGGAGCGA
rnacentral:rRNA from 1 species